CUACGGAGGGUGCAAGCGUUGUCCGGAUUUAUUGGGUUUAAAGGGUGCGUAGGUGGCGUGUUAAGUCAGUGGUUAAAGCCUGCAGCUCAACUGUAGAGGUGCCAUUGAUACUGACAUGCUUGAGUAUGGACGAGGUAGGCGGAAUUUGUGGUGUAGCGGUGAAAUGCAUAGAUACCACAAAGAACACCGAUAGCGAAGGCAGCUUACUGGACCAUAACUGACACUGAGGCACGAAAGUGUGGGUAGCGAACAGGAUUAGAUACCCCAGUAGUCC
rnacentral:rRNA from 1 species